rnacentral:misc_RNA from 2 species
AACGCACAUUGCGCCCGCUAGUAUUCUGGCGGGCAUGCCUGUCUGAGCGUCAUUUCAACCCUCGCCCCCGGCUUUUGCUGGGAGCGGUGUUGGGGAUCGGCCGCCCGUCACUGGGAGGCCGGCCCCGAAAUAGAGUGGCGACCACGCCGUGUGCUCCUCUGCGUAGUAGUAAAUCACCUCGCAGGCGGACAGCGGUGCGGCCUGCCGUAAAACCCCCAACUCUUUCUAUGGUUGACCUCAGAUCAGGUAGGAAUACCCGCUGAACUUAA